rnacentral:misc_RNA from 1 species
CAAAACUACCUAAUUUAUAAAUAACAAUCAAGUUUCAAUUACAGAAGUGUACCUCACCGAAAAAACAUAAAAUUCAGCACCUUGGAGUUGUUUUUUGCAAAAGCGGAUGCCAAAAUUGAACUCAAAACGUUGAAAUUAGCUGGGUAGGAAAUUGUCAAGAAUUUGCUGUCUUGGUAGUGAUGUUAAUGUGGCGCUUCCUACUGACGAAAGCUCUUCCUCGUUACAUGAUGGGUUGUGACCCGACCGGGCGGAUUCUUGAAUUUCUGAUGGUGG